rnacentral:misc_RNA from 1 species
UUAUUUUAUUUCGAUAUUUCGUUACAUUCUUUGACUAGUGUUAUAAAAUGAGCCGCAGGUCAAGGCAAAAUAGAGGUUUACACCCGUUCUUUCAACCAAGUCCCGCCAAUAGAUGCACAGAGUUAGAAAAUGGAGGUCAGGCUCUACAAGUAGACGCCCUAAAAUUCAUUAAUGAUCCUUCCGCAGGUUCACCUACGGAAA